AGUUGCUGUUGACAAUUCAUAUCAACAUGGCAACCCUUCUCCACGUUUAACUCCACAUUUUAAAAAAAGUAAAUUCAUACUCUUAGCAUCACAACAUACUCCCAAUGUGAUAAAUGGACCUGAGUGUGGAGGGGGAAAGAACGGCGAGCCUUUUCCGUUACACUAGUAUUUGAGGUUAAGAUUCUUUGGACUGGGCCGGAGAACAUUUUUCCACGCAGUCAACUGAAAGUGCACAUUCUGCCCUCUCAGAAAUGAUCAUUUGACCAAAAAGUCUCCCUCUCUCUCUCUGUCUCUAUAGGGUCUGAUGCUGAAACUGUGGAUUUGUACUCACCACCAGAUGGGAUAGCCUCCAAGCACCCGUGAGCUGGACAACCACACACACAUCAAAUAUCCAAUCAGAUACAAAUCCAUGAGCUUCCUCCAGGGGCAAUAAUGGACUCCCUGCGUCAGCCUUUUCCAGCGAGGCUAUCGUCCAAGCCUGCCUGGGUCACAAGUCCACCUUCCCCUGUUGGAGAAAACUGUCCCGGCAGUGUCAUUCCUGUCACAUCCAGCUCAUUUACAGGCCAUACGAGCCUCGGUGCCAUCGACCUGAAGAGCACAUUCGUGUUAACAGAUUCUCUUCAGUCCUUAAGAUUCAGGACGAGGCAUAUUCGGUGGGAAGUGUGGAACGUGCUGCAAAUACAAAAAUACUGCUGGAAAUAAAUUUGUCAGCAAGUUUCUCACAAAUAAAAAAUGACAAGAAAAAG